GACGAACGCUGGCGGCGUGCUUAACACAUGCAAGUCGAACGGAAAGGCCCUGCUUUUGUGGGGUGCUCGAGUGGCGAACGGGUGAGUAACACGUGAGUAACCUGCCCUUGACUUUGGGAUAACUUCAGGAAACUGGGGCUAAUACCGGAUAGGAGCUCCUGCUGCAUGGUGGGGGUUGGAAAGUUUCGGCGGUUGGGGAUGGACUCGCGGCUUAUCAGCUUGUUGGUGGGGUAGUGGCUUACCAAGGCUUUGACGGGUAGCCGGCCUGAGAGGGUGACCGGCCACAUUGGGACUGAGAUACGGCCCAGACUCCUACGGGAGGCAGCAGUGGGGAAUAUUGCACAAUGGGCGGAAGCCUGAUGCAGCAACGCCGCGUGCGGGAUGACGGCCUUCGGGUUGUAAACCGCUUUCGCCUGUGACGAAGCGUGAGUGACGGUAAUGGGUAAAGAAGCACCGGCUAACUACGUGCCAGCAGCCGCGGUGAUACGUAGGGUGCGAGCGUUGUCCAGAUUUAUUGGGCGUAAAGGGCUCGUAGGUGGUUGAUCGCGUCGGAAGUGUAAUCUUGGGGCUUAACCCUGAGCGUGCUUUCGAUACGGGUUGACUUGAGGAAGGUAGGGGAGAAUGGAAUUCCUGGUGGAGCGGUGGAAUGCGCAGAUAUCAGGAGGAACACCAGUGGCGAAGGCGGUUCUCUGGGCCUUUCCUGACGCUGAGGAGCGAAAGCGUGGGGAGCGAACAGGCUUAGAUACCCUGGUAGUCCACGCUGUAAACGGUAGGUACUAGGUGUGGGGUCCAUUCCACGGGUUCCGUGCCGUAGCUAACGCUUUAAGUACCCCGCCUGGGGAGUACGGCCGCAAGGCUAAAACUCAAAGGAAUUGACGGGGCCCCGCACAAGCGGCGGAGCAUGCGGAUUAAUUCGAUGCAACGCGUAGAACCUUACCUGGGUUUGACAUGGAUCGGGAGCGCUCAGAGAUGGGUGUGCCUCUUUUGGGGUCGGUUCACAGGUGGUGCAUGGCUGUCGUCAGCUCGUGUCGUGAGAUGUUGGGUUAAGUCCCGCAACGAGCGCAACCCUUGUUCACUGUUGCCAGCACGUUAUGGUGGGGACUCAGUGGAGACCGCCGGGGUCAACUCGGAGGAAGGUGGGGAUGACGUCAAGUCAUCAUGCCCCUUAUGUCCAGGGCUUCACGCAUGCUACAAUGGCUGGUACAGAGAGUGGCGAGCCUGUGAGGGUGAGCGAAUCUCGGAAAGCCGGUCUCAGUUCGGAUUGGGGUCUGCAACUCGACCUCAUGAAGUCGGAGUCGCUAGUAAUCGCAGAUCAGCAACGCUGCGGUGAAUACGUUCCCGGGGCU
rnacentral:rRNA from 1 species